GACGAACGCUGGCGGCGUGCUUAACACAUGCAAGUCGAACGAUGAAGCCGGAGCUUGCUCUGGUGAAUUAGUGGCGAACGGGUGAGUAACACGUGAGUAACCUGCCCUUGACUCUGGGAUAACUGCGGGAAACUGUAGCUAAUACCGGAUACGACCCUCGGAGGCAUCUCCUGGGGGUGGAAAGAAUUUCGGUCAAGGAUGGACUCGCGGCCUAUCAGCUAGUUGGUGAGGUAAAGGCUCACCAAGGCGACGACGGGUAGCCGGCCUGAGAGGGGGACCGGCCACACUGGGACUGAGACACGGCCCAGACUCCUACGGGAGGCAGCAGUGGGGAAUAUUGCACAAUGGGCGCAAACCUGAUGCAGCAACGCCGCGUGAGGGAUGACGGCCUUCGGGUUGUAAACCUCUUUUAGCAGGGAAGAAGCGAAAGUGACGGUACCUGCAGAAAAAGCACCGGCUAACUACGUGCCAGCCGCCGUAACAC
rnacentral:rRNA from 1 species